CACAAGAGACGAAGCUCUAGUGCUUUAUUGACAACCGCCGCUAGAUGGCGCAGCGGUAGCGCUGCCGCCAUUUUGGAUUGUGGGACAACAGUUACACAGCACACAACCUAGUACCGACACCAUGAGCUCGAAAGCGAAGUCGAAGUGGAAAAACAACAGAAAGUUAUGUUCAUCAAUUAACUGCAACAACUAUCAAUUCGAUAGUAAACAUAGUCUUGCCUUUCACCGUUUCCCUAAAGACCCUGAAAGGUAAUUAUUCACAAAAGUGAAGAAAGCAUUUUCAUAUUAAUUUCGAUUUAUAUGAAUAUGCCUCUUAGUAAGAAUGGGUUAUUAAAUUAAAUACAGUGGCCGAAUUCAAUUAAUUGAUAACCUAUUAUUGUCUGUAAGACAUGCUAUGGCGGGAGGACACCAGUUUGUUAUAAGGUGUUGCUAUAAGGUUUGCUACUCAGGUCCUGAGCCACUCAGUUGCUGUGGGGAUAAAGACCUUGGCACAGGUCAAGCACAGAGGAACUACAUGGCAGUUGCCAAAUUCUGUGAAAACUUUGAUGGCAUCUUCAACUGCUUCAACUCCAAGCAGCUCAAGGAUUCCCACAAGCUGAAGUCUGCUCUCUCAGAUGCAUCAGCGCAUUUCCCAUUCAUGGAAAAGUGUAUGGAGUGGCUUCCCCGCCUGAAGCUUGUCGGUGCUGGCCCUGGAACCAAGCAGAUCCCAUGUGUAGAGGGGUGGCAGCACAACAUCGUGUGCUUGAAAAUGAUAUGGUGUGAUCUCCGUGAACGUCACCAAGUGUCCUAACUUUUGACAAAUCGUUUGAAUCAAGACUGCCUUGAGAAUGCCUACUCAACCAUUAGGGCUUGUGGUGGUAACCGUGACAGCCCAGACUCUGUCCAAUUUGAGUGUGAAUACAGUGGCUACUGGAUUGAUAUUUAACAUCUCAGAGAAGACCAACUGUGAGCAAGACCUUGACACCUUCCUGCUGCAGUUCAGCACAUAUGCCUCCCAGGAUAGCCUCCAGGUCAACAUCGACGCAGACCAGAUCUCAGCUGAACAUCGCUAUACCUCCCAGUAUAGUCCCAGGAUCACCAUCAGUUCUGAGAUUAUGGACGAACACAGCUAUGCUAGAGUGACUACUGAUUGUGGAGAAGCUGAGAUGGUUCCGUGCGGGAAUAUGCAGAUCCAGUCGUCACUGCUAAUACCGGAGCCACAUCGGACCAGGUGGAGGAGCCAAUGGACUAUUCACUAGACAGUCAGUUUGAUUCCCACCAAACACCUUCUUGUUGCUCUGGAGAUCAUGAAGAGCCUAUGGACAGCUCCAUGGUCGUCCACUCAAUCUGUGAAUCAGAAAGUUCAGGGAGAGUGCUCAGCCAGGACCAGCUACCUACGUCUAGUAAAACUGAGAAUCUCAGAAUCCAGGGAGAGUGCUCAGCCAGGAACAGCUACCUACAAGAACAUGAGGUCUAGGCAACUCAGAAUCAGAAACAGUGAUGCUGUGCUGGAGUCUGAUGUCAAGCCCCCUUGAAGGUGUCCUGCCAAAAUGUGUCCUGGACCUGCUGAGUGAGAUGACACCACCAGUUUCAGCAACAUCUGCCUUUGACCAUGAUGGAAGUGUACUGGUUUACAUGGCUGGGUAUUUGGGCAGUAAGUUUGUGGGGAAAUUUGCAGACAGUAAAGAGGGUCCCUGCAAGGAAUGCAAAAUGUUGACCACAGAUAUCCCUGCUGAUCCAAGGUACACAUUCCUCAAGGACAAACAGUACAUUGAUCUCAACUUAGGAGAGAAGGGCCUUAAAGUGCCCAGCAUGGCACUGCUAAACUUAAUCAUAGCCCUGGAGUCGAACUUCAGAAAAAAGAUCAGCUCCACACAGCUGGCCUGGGAAGGAAGCUGUUUAUCAGUUGUAUGGAGAUUGUGAGUGAGUGCAGGGGAGUGGUGUGUGACAAGGAGAAGUGCAAAAAGUCACUUAUCUACAUGGUUAGACUAUAUAUACGGAUCAGAAUUCAUCACAUUUUACGCACCCAAAAUUGCAGAAUCUCAGAGCCAAAUCAGAAGCGCAAUAGAAAAUUUCUCAAAAUAAGUCAUCAGUAAAUCAUGUCAUGUUUGUCAUUUUUGUUGUUUAAUAAAUUAAAUUCUGAAUGAAUGGUUUA